rnacentral:rRNA from 1 species
CCAGACUCCUACGGGAGGCAGCAGUGAGGAAUAUUGGUCAAUGGGCGCGAGCCUGAACCAGCCAAGUCGCGUGAGGGAGGACGGCCCUACGGGUUGUAAACCUCUUUUGCCGGGGAGCAACGGGCGUCACGUGUGGCGCCACUGAGAGUACCCGGAGAAAAAGCAUCGGCUAACUCCGUGCCAGCAGCCGCGGUAAUACGGAGGAUGCGAGCGUUAUCCGGAUUUAUUGGGUUUAAAGGGUGCGUAGGCGGGGUGUUAAGGUAGGUGCGAAAUUUGGGGGCUCAACCCCCUCCCCGCCAUUGAAACUGGCGCUCUUGAGUGGAAGAGAAGUAUGCGGAAUGCGUGGUGUAGCGGUGAAAUGCAUAGAUAUCACGCAGAGCCCCGAUUGCGAAGGCAGCAUGCCGGCUUCCGACUGACGCUGAAGCACGAAAGCGUGGGGAUCGAACAGGAUUAGAUACCCGAGUAC